rnacentral:rRNA from 1 species
GACGAACGCGGGCGGCGUGCCUAAUACAUGCAAGUUGAGCGAUGAAGAUUGGUGCUUGCACCAAUUUGAAGAGCAGCGAACGGGUGAGUAACGCGUGGGGAAUCUGCCUUUGAGCGGGGGACAACAUUUGGAAACGAAUGCUAAUACCGCAUAAUAACUUUAAACAUAAGUUUUAAGUUUGAAAGAUGCAAUUGCAUCACUCAAAGAUGAUCCCGCGUUGUAUUAGCUAGUUGGUGAGGUAAAGGCUCACCAAGGCGAUGAUACAUAGCCGACCUGAGAGGGUGAUCGGCCACAUUGGGACUGAGACACGGCCCAAACUCCUACGGGAGGCAGCAGUAGGGAAUCUUCGGCAAUGGACGAAAGUCUGACCGAGCAACGCCGCGUGAGUGAAGAAGGUUUUCGGAUCGUAAAACUCUGUUGGUAGAGAAGAACGUUGGUGAGAGUGGAAAGCUCAUCAAGUGACGGUAACUACCCAGAAAGGGACGGCUAACUACGUGCCAGCAGCCGCGGUAAUACGUAGGUCCCGAGCGUUGUCCGGAUUUAUUGGGCGUAAAGCGAGCGCAGGUGGUUUAUUAAGUCUGGUGUAAAAGGCAGUGGCUCAACCAUUGUAUGCAUUGGAAACUGGUAGACUUGAGUGCAGGAGAGGAGAGUGGAAUUC